rnacentral:rRNA from 1 species
CAAAAGUGUAUAAUAAAGUUGUUGCAGUUAAAGAGCUCGUAGUUGGAUCAAAGAUUAUUACUUUCUGGUCCGCCGAACAUAUUACUUCGGUAGUAUUGGUGAGUACUGUUAGUGAUGGUCUUAAUUUUUUCUUGGAAAAAAUCUUUCAUUUACUACCGACUGUUAUUCAUUUAGUGGUCGGAUUCUUAGUAAUGAAUCAUUUACUCUGAAGAAAUUAGAGUGUUCAAAGCAGUCAAAAUUUUAUAUUGACUUUGAAUAGAUUAGCAUGGGAUAAUGGAAGAGGAUCAUAAUAGUUUCUCAUUGGUUUAUAGUUUUAUGAUAAUGAUAAAUAGGAACAAUCGAGGGCAUUGAUAUUCAGUGGUCAGAAGUGAAAUUCUAGGAUUCUCUGAAGAUUAACAUAGGCGAAAGCAUUUGUCAAGGCUGUUUUCAUUAA